rnacentral:tRNA from 1 species
GUCGACGUAGCUCAAUUGGUAGAGCAGCGGUCUCCAAAACCGCAAUGCAGGUUCGAGUCCUGUCGUCUUCGC